rnacentral:sRNA from 1 species
AAGAAGAAGAAAAAAAGA